AGGGUUUGAUCCUGGCUCAGAACGUACGCUGGCGGCACGCCUUAUACAUGCAAGUCGAACGAAGUAGCAAUACUUAGUGGCAGACGGGUGAGUAACAUGUAGGUAUCUUCCCUUUGGUGAGGAAUAACACGAGGAAACUUGUGCUAAUACCUCAUAAGUCCUCACGGAGAAAGCUUUAUGCGCCAAAGGAUGAGCCUGCAUUUGAUUAGUUUGUUGGUGGGGUAAUGGCCUACCAAGACUUUGAUCAAUAGCUGAUCUGAGAGGAUGAUCAGCCACAUUGGGACUGAGACACGGCCCAAACUCCUACGGGAGGCAGCAGUAGGGAAUAUUGCACAAUGGAGGAAACUCUGAUGCAGCGAUGCCGCGUGAGUGAAGAAGGCCUUAGGGUUGUAAAGCACUUUAAGUGAGGAAGAAAAGAUUUAAAUUAAUACUUUAAGUCCCUGACAUUACUCACAGAAUAAGGACCGGCUAACUCCGUGCCAGCAGCCGCGGUAAUACGGAGGGUCCAAGCGUUAAUCGGAAUUACUGGGCGUAAAGCGCGCGUAGAUGGUUUAUUCAGUUGGGUGUGAAAUCCCUGGGCUCAACCUAGGAACUGCAUUCAAAACUUAUAAACUAGAGUACGAAAGAGGAGAGUAGAAUUCAUGGUGUAGCGGUGAAAUGCGUAGAGAUCAUGAGGAAUACCAGUGGCGAAGGCGACUCUCUGGUUCGAGACUGACAUUGAGGUGCGAAAGCGUGGGUAGCAAACAGGAUUAGAUACCCUGGUAGUCCACGCCGUAAACGAUGAGAACUAGCCGUUGGAUCUUUAGAUUCAGUGGCGCAGCUAACGCAUUAAGUUCUCCGCCUGGGGAGUACGGCCGCAAGGCUAAAACUCAAAUGAAUUGACGGGGGCCCGCACAAGCGGUGGAGCAUGUGGUUUAAUUCGAUGCAACGCGAAGAACCUUACCAACCCUUGACAUCCAGUGGAAGUUUUAGAGAUAAAACUGUGCCUUUGGGAACACUGUGACAGGUGUUGCAUGGCUGUCGUCAGCUCGUGUCGUGAGAUGUAUGGUUAAGUCCAGUAACGAGCGCAACCCUUAUCCUUAUUUGCCAGCACUUCGGGUGGGAACUUUAAGGAGACUGCCGUGAAUAACACGGAGGAAGGUGGGGACGACGUCAAGUCAUCAUGGCCCUUACGGGUUGGGCUACACACGUGCUACAAUGGGAGAUACAGACGGUUGCGAAAGCGCGAGCUGGAGCUAAUCCUACAAAGUCUUCCUCAGUCCGGAUUGGAGUCUGCAACUCGACUCCAUGAAGUAGGAAUCGCUAGUAAUCGCGAAUCAGAAUGUCGCGGUGAAUACGUUCUCGGGCCUUGUACACACCGCCCGUCACGUCAUGGGAGUGUGUUGUACCAGAAGUGGCUUGCCUAACCUUCGGGAGGGCGGUCCCCACGGUAUGAUACGCGACUGGGACGAAGUCGUAACAAGGUAGCCGUA
rnacentral:rRNA from 1 species